UACGUAGGGGGCUAGCGUUGUCCGGAAUCAUUGGGCGUAAAGCGCGUGUAGGCGGUUCGGUAAGUCCGCUGUGAAAGUCGAGGGCUCAACCCUCGAAAGCCGGUGGAUACUGUCGGGCUAGAGUGCGGAAGAGGCGAGUGGAAUUCCUGGUGUAGCGGUGAAAUGCGCAGAUAUCUGGAGGAACACCGGUGGCGAAGGCGGCAUCCUGGACCGGUAUUGACGCUGAGGCGCGAAAGCGUGGGGAGCGAACAGG
rnacentral:rRNA from 1 species